GCGAGAAAGUUUGGCAGUGGCGCUGGUAGCGUUUUUUAGUCGGAUGAGGGGAUGGCUGCCUAACGGAUUCCGUUCUUGUUGCAAGACCAUGUGGCCCACGAUGCUUCUCCUUCUCCACGGUGUGGCUGGAAGUUGGGAAGAAUGGUGGACUUACGAUGGAAUAUCUGGGCCAGAUUUUUGGGGAUUACUAAAUCCAGAGUGGAGUUUCUGCACAAAGGGUAGACGUCAGUCACCUAUUGAUCUUGAUCCAGCUGUUCUUCUUUACGAUCCUCAUCUCAAAAGUAUACAUAUCGAUAAAUAUAGAGUGAGUGGAACUAUCAUGAACACAGGACACAGCGUAAUAUUUCGUUCCGAAUCUUACGAUCCAGAGACUGUGGUCAAUAUUACUGAAGGUCCAUUAUCCUACAGAUACCGUUUCGAAGAAAUUCACUUACACUAUGGAAGAUCAGAUGAUAGAGGGUCUGAGCAUACGCUAGCUGGAUAUUCAUUUCCAGCAGAGUUGCAGAUAUUCGGGUAUAAUUCAGAUUUGUACAAUAACAUAUCUGAAGCACUUGCUGUUCGGAGAAGUGAAGGAGUUGUUGGCAUAGCUGUUCUUUUGCAAAUGGGAGAUUUGUCUAAUGCUGAGCUCAGAGUUCUUACCAGCCAACUACAUAGGAUAGUAUACAGAGGUCAAGAAGCUCAUUUACAACAUUUAUCCGUACGCGACCUCUUGCCUGACACAGAAUUUUUCAUGACAUAUGAAGGAUCUUUGACAAUGCCAGGAUGCCAAGAAACAGUUACCUGGAUCGUCAUGAAUCGGCCCAUUUAUAUCACCAAACAGCAGCUGUACAUUCUUCGAAAGUUAAUGCAAGGAGACGAAGACAACCCUAAAGCACCUCUUGGGAAUAAUUUCCGGCCCCCACUAGCGCUGAACCAAAGGGUCGUCAGAACGAAUAUCGACUUCCUUCGCGAUGAGGGGAAGAAGUGUCCAACUAUGAACAGGAACAUGCUCUACAAAGCUAGGAAAUGGAACCAUCAUCCUUGACAAAGGCUGUUGAAUACCUAGGUGUCACCAUCAAAAAUAUGUUCUAAGAAGAACACGGUUCCUCAUCCCCAACCUGCUCAAUCUCAGUGGUUUAGCACUUCUACCUUAUGUAAUACUUCCCAAGCAGUCUCUACCAGAUUUCUUUCGAAGACCUUAGCGUCAGAUUUAUCCAAUUUUUGAGCUUCAAAAGUAAAUUAUGGUCUCCGAAAGACGUCAUAAGUGAUUGUUUCUUGAGAAAGCUGUUCUUAUGUCUUCUGAACUAGAUUCGAGACUACAUUAGAAUGUGGAAAGACUCUAUAGAGCAGCAAAUACUCAGGAAUUUUUAAAACUAAUGUGAAAUAACUCAAGCAGAUGGCAACCCCGGAGCGAAAAAUACUUUUUCUAAAAAAUUAAAAAUUGUACAUAUCAGACGGUGGCACUU